rnacentral:rRNA from 1 species
AUGUCGCGGCUCCCAGCGCCACCGCCCGUCCCGCUGCUGCUCCUGUCGCCGUGCAAGGCCCGGACGGGAGCGCAACUCGUAGGGACGAAGCACCUGUGCGGCCCCGACGACAGCUGGGUCGUGCGCGUUCCAGGCAAGGCAGACGGCAAGUUGUUCGUCGGCUCACACGAAGGCGGCUGGGUCGCUGCGGUCGACUGGAGAACGCUCGUCAUCGUGAAUCUCUUCUCUGAUGCGGAGGUGGUGGAGGCCUCCCCAAUACGCUCGCCUAAACUAGAACACAUCGCGCCAAACUGUCAUCGAAAAAUCAUCUUCUCCGAAGACCCCACCUCUAGCAGCUGCAUCCUUGCUGCCAUCCCUCACUGGUUGUCCUACGUUGCAGUGUGCAAAGUUGGUGGCGAUACGAGCGGAUGGACCGUAGAAAAAAUGGGGGAGAGGACGAUUAUGGACAUCGCAUUCUGCAACGGAGAGCUCUAUGGUCUUAUGUAUCCCAAUGAGGAGCUGGUUAAAUUUGAAAUUGACAUCAAGGUAGACGGCACGCCGAUCAUCACAUCCAACCACACGCUGGCCGUUGAAAGGCGCAACCGUUACCAGUCGUUCCCGGGCUACCUCAUCGAGCUACACGGCAAGCCAUCUAUGGUGAUACGACAUUGUUGGUUGCCCAACCGAGAGCCUUUCUUUAAGGUCUUCACACUUGUCGACACCGGAAACGAUGAGGGCUACAUGUACAAGUGGGCAGAAGUGAUGAGUUUUGGUGACCACGCCUUGUUCUUCGGGCUGAAUUCGUCCAAGGCGGUGCACGUGACAGACAAACAUCAUGGUGUGAAGAGAAAUCAUAUCUACUACUCCACAAAAAAAGAAUGUUGGCCAAAAAAUGAGUUGCCUGAUGAUAUAUUGUACUCUGUAAUAACAAACGACGACGAGCACAUGUAUUGCAGGGAAGAUGAAAGCAUUGGCGAUGGUGUGGAGAGAACAGGAUAUUACAUGGUGGGUUAUAAGAAUUCUCUCAUGUGGCUUUACCCUCCAUGCUUGUAG